rnacentral:rRNA from 1 species
AUUGAACGCUGGCGGCAUGCCUUACACAUGCAAGUCGAACGGCAGCGCGGGGCAACCUGGCGGCGAGUGGCGAACGGGUGAGUAAUAUAUCGGAACGUGCCCUAGAGUGGGGGAUAACGUAGCGAAAGUUACGCUAAUACCGCAUACGAUCUACGGAUGAAAGUGGGGGAUCGCAAGACCUCAUGCUCGUGGAGCGGCCGAUAUCUGAUUAGCUAGUUGGAGGGUAAAAGCCUACCAAGGCAUCGAUCAGUAGCUGGUCUGAGAGGACGACCAGCCACACUGGGACUGAGACACGGCCCAGACUCCUACGGGAGGCAGCAGUGGGGAAUUUUGGACAAUGGGGCAACCUGAUCCAGCAAUGCCGCGUGAGUGAAGAAGGCCU